GGUCAAUGGCCUAACGGCCGAACCAGCAAUUUGGGGGAAUGUGAUAUCUUUUAGUCGGGAUAUCAAUAUAAACGACUAUGUCGUAUAAAGUUCUAGAUAGAUGAUUGAUAAUGACAGUUUUCUAUCUAUAUGUCUUGACCAAAUCUUGUGCCAGCAGUCGCGGCAAUACAAGUAAGACUAGUGUUAUUCAUCUUAAUUAGGUUUAAAGGGUACCUAGACAGUAUUUCUAGCCUCCAAAGGGAACAGAUUUACUAGAGUUUUAUGUGAGAGGAAAAUAUUAGAACCAUUGGAGUAGUGAUAAAAUGUUUUGAUACUAAUGGGACGGAUAACGGCGAAGGCAAACCUCUAUGUAAUAACUGACGUUGAGGGACGAAGGCUUGGGUAGCGAAUAGGAUUAGAUACCCUAGUAGUCCAAGCAGAGAAUUAUGAAUGUUAUAGAUUAAAAUAUUUGGUGUAUAAAUGAAAGUGUAAGCAUUCCACCUCAAGAGUAAUGCGGCAACGCAGGAACUGAAAUCAUUAGACCGUUUCUGAAACCAGUAGUGAAGUAUGUUAUUUAA
rnacentral:rRNA from 1 species